AUUGAACGCUGGCGGCAGGCCUAACACAUGCAAGUCGAGCGGAUGAAGGGAGCUUGCUCCUGGAUUCAGCGGCGGACGGGUGAGUAAUGCCUAGGAAUCUGCCUGGUAGUGGGGGAUAACGUCAGGAAACGGGGGCUAAUACCGCAUACGUCCUGAGGGAGAAAGUGGGGGAUCUUCGGACCUCACGCUAUCAGAUGAGCCUAGGUCGGAUUAGCUAGUUGGUGGGGUAAAGGCCUACCAAGGCGACGAUCCGUAACUGGUCUGAGAGGAUGAUCAGCCACACUGGAACUGAGACACGGUCCAGACUCCUACGGGAGGCAGCAGUGGGGAAUAUUGGACAAUGGGCGCAAGCCUGAUCCAGCCAUACCGCGUGGGUGAAGAAGGCCUUCGGGUUGUAAAGCCCUUUUGUUUGGAAAGAAAAGCAGCAGGUUAAUACCCCGCUGUUCUGACGGUACCAAAAGAAUAAGCACCGGCUAACUUCGUG
rnacentral:rRNA from 1 species